UACGAAGGGGGCUAGCGUUGUUCGGAAUUACUGGGCGUAAAGCGCGCGCAGGCGGCUAUCCAAGUCAGUGGUGAAAGCCCGGAGCUCAACUCCGGAACUGCCAUUGAAACUGUUUAGCUUGAGGAUGAGAGAGGGUAGUGGAAUUCCCGGUGUAGUGGUGAAAUGCGUAGAUAUCGGGAGGAACACCAGUGGCGAAGGCGACUACCUGGCCUGUUCUUGACGCUGAGGCGCGAAAGCUAGGGGAGCAAACGGG
rnacentral:rRNA from 1 species